rnacentral:rRNA from 1 species
AGAGUUUGAUCCUGGCUCAGGACGAACGCUGGCGGCGCGCCUAACACAUGCAAGUCGAACGAGCGAGAGAGAGCUUGCUUUCUCGAGCGAGUGGCGAACGGGUGAGUAACGCGUGAGGAACCUGCCUCAAAGAGGGGGACAACAGUUGGAAACGACUGCUAAUACCGCAUAAGCCCACGGGUCGGCAUCGACCAGAGGGAAAAGGAGCAAUCCGCUUUGAGAUGGCCUCGCGUCCGAUUAGCUAGUUGGUGAGGUAACGGCCCACCAAGGCGACGAUCGGUAGCCGGACUGAGAGGUUGAACGGCCACAUUGGGACUGAGACACGGCCCAGACUCCUACGGGAGGCAGCAGUGGGGAAUAUUGCACAAUGGGGGAAACCCUGAUGCAGCGACGCCGCGUGGAGGAAGAAGGUCUUCGGAUUGUAAACUCCUGUUGUUGAGGAAGAUAAUGACGGUACUCAACAAGGAAGUGACGGCUAACUACGUGCCAGCAGCCGCGGUAAAACGUAGGUCACAAGCGUUGUCCGGAAUUACUGGGUGUAAAGGGAGCGCAGGCGGGAAGACAAGUUGGAAGUGAAAUCUAUGGGCUCAACCCAUAAACUGCUUUCAAAACUGUUUUUCUUGAGUAGUGCAGAGGUAGGCGGAAUUCCCGGUGUAGCGGUGGAAUGCGUAGAUAUCGGGAGGAACACCAGUGGCGAAGGCGGCCUACUGGGCACCAACUGACGCUGAGGCUCGAAAGUGUGGGUAGCAAACAGGAUUAGAUACCCUGGUAGUCCACACCGUAAACGAUGAUUACUAGGUGUUGGAGGAUUGACCCCUUCAGUGCCGCAGUUAACACAAUAAGUAAUCCACCUGGGGAGUACGACCGCAAGGUUGAAACUCAAAGGAAUUGACGGGGGCCCGCACAAGCGGUGGAGCAUGUGGUUUAA